rnacentral:rRNA from 2 species
UACGUAGGUGGCAAGCGUUGUCCGGAUUUACUGGGCGUAAAGGGCGUGCAGGCGGUCUGUUAAGUCUAGGGUGAAAGCUCCCGGCUCAACUGGGAGAGGUCCUUGGAUACUGGCGGACUUGAGGGAUGCAGAGGAAAGUGGAAUUCCCGGUGUAGUGGUGAUAUGCGUAGAUAUCGGGAGGAACACCAGUGGCGAAGGCGGCUUUCUGGGCAUUUCCUGACGCUGAGACGCGAAAGCGUGGGGAGCGAACCGG